AAAACAAUAACAAACUAACAGUAAACAUAAAUACUUUGAAAAAAAUCACGAGUCUCAAAACAAUUUAUAUGAAAAUGCAAAAAUAAAUCCAAGCACUACAAGUAACAUAAAAAACUGAAAUGCUGUCAACACACUAGAAAAUAUAAUACUAUGAUUGAAAAAUAAAAUACUGGAUAGACACAUAAGAGACAGGGUUCUCAUUAAAAACAAUUCAAAUGAUCCCAAUUUUGAAAAAACUCAUCCUUUUUGUCCAUAGUGAGUCCAAAGUUCUGAAAAACUUUAAUAUGAACAAAGUUAACAUUUUUUUAAAGACUUACAUUUUUUGUAAUUCACUUAAAAUUACCAUUUAGAUCUUCUGGUCAAAACAAAAUGGAGAGUUUACAUAACAAAUUAGCUUGAAUUGUGAAUUAUCUAUUUUGAAAAUUUUGACUUGCUCUCAAUUCAUGGAACCAUCUUACUUAGUGAGUAACCUACAUGUACACUGGAGCUUAUAUCUCCUAAAUAUGUGUACUGUCACUUUUUUAUCAUCAUCAAAUCUAAGGGAAGAUAUAUUAUCAGUGCUUACUUGUACAAUCUGUAGUUUGUUACAAUAUAUUGGUAAAUGGUUCCAUAAUCAAUGCUGUUUCAAUAUCUUCUGUAUAAAAUAUGAUUAGCAUAAUAUACAAUGUUGUUUAAAUGGUACUGUAUAAAAUAUGCUCAAUAUGAGAAGUACAUUAUGUAUUUCUACUGUAAAUAUUUUAGCACCUACAUUUGUACAUAAUAUUUUUUUUUAUUAUGUUUAUUAAAUAAUACAUUGUAUAAUCAAAUGAUAUGAAACUGCUACAUGUAUAAUAAACAAGAUCUGCAUAACAUAUUUUUAACCCUUUCCCUUUCAUGCAUUUUAGACCUUUACUUAUCGAAAAUACAUUAUCGAAGUUUAAAUGAAUACAGAAUUCGC
rnacentral:lncRNA from 1 species